rnacentral:rRNA from 1 species
CGGGUGAGUAACACGUGGAUAACCUACCUAUAAGACUGGGAUAACUUCGGGAAACCGGAGCUAAUACCGGAUAAUAUUUUGAACCGCAUGGUUCAAAAGUGAAAGACGGUCUUGCUGUCACUUAUAGAUGGAUCCGCGCUGCAUUAGCUAGUUGGUAAGGUAACGGCUUACCAAGGCAACGAUGCAUAGCCGACCUGAGAGGGUGAUCGGCCACACUGGAACUGAGACACGGUCCAGACUCCUACGGGAGGCAGCAGGCC